AAAAGAACUUACGAUAUACUAACACGAAUAAUUUAGGUAAAGAAUGUUUUUAAAGUGAUGGACAUAGAUGGAAAGAUUGUUAUUAUUGAGUUUUAGAAGUAUAAGUAAUUUGUAUUUAAGGAGGCUUAGUUGACUAUAUUUGCAGCUACAUUUAAAAAUAUUUUUUAUUUUUUAAAAAUAUAUUUUUUAUUGAUUUCAGAGAGGAAGGGAGAGGGAGAGAGAGAUAGAAACGUCAAUGAUGAGAGAGAAUCAUUGAAUGGAUGCCUCCUGCAUGCCCCAAAUUGCAGAUCGAACCUGCAACCUGGGAAUGUGCCCUGACAGGGAAUUGAACUGUGACCUCCUGGUUCAUAGGUCGACGCUUAACUAUUGAGCCGUAUGACCAGGUGCAGGUACAUUUUAAUAGCUAACAUUUAUUUAACGGUUACUUGUGUCGAGCGUAUUCUAAUAAAUCUAUAUGGUUUUAUUUUCUGUAAUCCUCAAAUUAAACUUAAAUGGUAGCAACUGUUAUUGUCCCCAUUUUACAAAUGAGGAAAUGGAGACACAAAGUUAAGUACUUAUGUCCAGGAUCACAGAAUUCUUAAAUGAUUAGAUGGGUGUUUAGAACCCAGAUAGCCUAAUCCCAAAGCAUAUGCCCUUAAUCACUACCCUCUACCACUGGUUUCAAAUUUAUUAUUCAUUUAUCUAGAACAGUAAUGGCGAACCUUUUGAUCUCGGCGUGUCAGCAUUUUGAAAAACCCUAACUUAACCCUGGUGCCAUGUCACAUACAGAAAUUUUUUGAUAUUUUCAACCAUAGUAAAACAAAGAUUUAUAUUUUUGAUAUUUAUUUUAUAUAUUUAAAUGCCAUUUAACAAAGAAAAAUCAACCAAAAAAAUGAGUUCACGUGUCACCUCUGACACACGUGUCAUAGGUUUGCCAUCACUGAUCUAGAACAUAAAAUUUUUACUUUUUUUCUGAUCUUACCAUUGGUAAAGAAACUAUAUUUGCUUGGCUUUUACUAAUAUUGUCAUAUAAUGCAUACAGUUGAUUCUAUUUGCUGCACUUAUGUUCUUGAAGUCACCCGAACAUGCUAGGUUCACACACACAUACAUAUUUGCCCAACAAUGGUUCAGUGUUUACUAAUUCAGUCUUAGGGUAACUUUAAGAACACAAGUACAGCAAAACAACUGUUGACAGUAGAGAAUCAACUAUGUGUAGGUAUAAUCAUGGACGUGCGCACACACCCACACAGACACACGCACACACACAUCUUACCUAGAUUACCAUAAAUCCUAAAAAAAAAACUUGUUCUGGUAGAUUUUAUAUUUUUUAUUUUACAAAAGAGAAAAUGAGGUUUAGAAGUAUUACUUGACUUGUCUGAAGCAACCCCAGUAACAGGUGCCAGAGUUGAAAUUCUAGUUCUGUCAACUGGCCCCAAAGCCAGAGCUUCUUGCUUCUCACUACUGCACUGUUCCCUUCCUUCUCCAUCCUCUCAUCAUCUUUAUAUUAGAGCUGAAAUCUGGCUGAGUCUCUCUUGUUCAACUUCAGCUGGUAACGAAUGCCCAGGGAAACAAGUUGUUCACCAUUCUACAUGUCUAUAAAUGACCUUAAAUGACCUCAAAAGCAUUUACCAGCAUCGAUUUUCAGAUUACAAAUAAAUUUUAGCAAGUAGAUAAAUUUGCAAAUACAAAAUCCAUGAAUAAUGAAGAUUAAUUGUAUAUGUUAAUUAUCAUAUAGUUAUGAAGAAGUUCUGUUACUGUUUUUUUUUUUUUAAAUUUGUAAAUAUUCCAGAUUAGCUUUAUGGGUUUACCCCUAUCCUUGGUCAACUGCUUUUUUACCAUCCCAAUAAGUCUUCUUGGGUCAGAGAAAACCAAUUUCUUUUUGUGGAAAAUUUUGAAACAUGCUUUCUUGUAACAGUGUACUAAUAGCAGCAUUUUGACAGUGCAAGCUACAUAUUGAAUUAGCCUUCCUGUUGUUACUAGAAACUCCGCAUUAUCCUUGUUAUAGCUACUUGUUAUUAAAUCCCUUUCAGACAUUGCCCUGAUUUCCUUAUGUUAAUCAUAAAAUAGUUUGCUGAUAAAAUUUUGUGGGACAUUAUCUAAAGAAUUCUGUUAUCUUCAGUCUUCAUAAAUAGAUAGUAAUAUUGAUUUAGCCACCUUUUUAAGGCAGUAACUUUUCACUGAUAGUCUUCACUA